rnacentral:tRNA from 1 species
GCCCCUAUAGCUCAGCUGGUAGAGCAAGUGAUUUGUAAUCACUAGGUCGUUCGUUCGAGUCGGACUGGGGGCACCA